AAGUAUCGUAGGUGCAAGGGUUGUAUUUGUCGGGAAUGGAGGUUGUGGAACAGCCGUAUUUGUUCAAAUGUAUUGGUUGAACCAAUCAUUCAUCACGCUAUAAAAAGCUUGUCUAGCUUCAUCAUUCGGAUUACUUGCAAUAGGUUAAGAGUCCGCCGGCGCUGUCCCUUGUGCGGGAGCAGGCGCUACACUCUCAAGAUCAUCA
rnacentral:lncRNA from 1 species